UUUUUGGCUUGUUUUGUUAAAAUGUGUUAUUUGAGUCGCUUUUUGUUUUGCAUUCAUCUUUAUUAUGGCUGCCUUAUCAUUGCCACAUCUGGCGUUCUGCUCUCCAUUGUGGGUCUGUCACUCGUUUUUCUUAAAGUAUUGCCCACAGUUCACGGGGCAUUGUUUUUCUUGGCACUAGUAUUUGUCUCAUUAUAUUUGCUGACGAAAGUGUUGUUGCUGAUUGGUGUUAUAUAUAAUUCUACGUUAUUGGUGCUUUGGUCCUUCAUCAUUGAUCAAGUUACAAUUGUUUAUCCCAUUUGUCUGUUUAUAUGGCAAAUAGCUGUUAGGGAUGCCGUUUUGAAAAUCGUCAUACUCUUUUAUUUUAUUAUAAAGGAACUAUAUGAUGCCUGGAUUGUGCUGUCGUAUUGGCAUGAGAUCAAGACUUCUGACAAACAAUUUCGUGUACACAUAUAAAUAUGUAUGAUGUACGUACGUGUAUGUAACGUACAAAUGUAUAUGUUUGUAUUUACGUGUACGUACGUACAAAUGUAUAUGUUUAUAUAUAUACAUAUGUGAUUGGAGCUCAUGAUAUUGUAAGCAUAACAUAGCGACCAAAUUGUCAGUUAUUUUGGAAAUACAUUGGGUUGGAGAAAAAAAGAAACGUUAUUUUUUCAGGACCAUAGUAAAUUUCAACCGUGGACGCAAUGUCUGUGGACAUUUUCGUUGUAUGAAAUGAAAACUCUA